rnacentral:rRNA from 1 species
AUUGAACGCUGGCGGCAGGCUUAACACAUGCAAGUCGAGCGGGGAAGGUUACUUCGGUAACUGACCUAGCGGCGGACGGGUGAGUAAUGCUUAGGAAUCUGCCUAUUAGUGGGGGACAACAUUCCGAAAGGAAUGCUAAUACCGCAUACGUCCUACGGGGGAAAGCAGGGGAUCUUCGGACCUUGCGCUAAUAGAUGAGCCUAAGUCGGAUUAGCUAGUUGGUGGGGUAAAGGCCUACCAAGGCGACGAUCUGUAGCGGGUCUGGGAGGAUGAUCCGCCACACUGGGACUGAGACACGGCCCAGACUCCUACGGGAGGCAGCAGUGGGGAAUAUUGGACAAUGGGCGCAAGCCUGAUCCAGCCAUGCCGCGUGUGUGAAGAAGGCCUUAUGGUUGUAAAGCACUUUAAGCGAGGAGGAGGCUACUUUAGUUAAUACCUAGAGAUAGUGGACGUUACUCGCAGAAUAAGCACCGGCUAACUCUGUGCCAGCAGCCGCCGCAGUA